rnacentral:tRNA from 1 species
GAUCCCUUAGCUCAGCGGUAGAGCAUCUGAUUCCAGUCAUGAAGCAUAUAUGCUUUGAAAUUCCAGAAGGUCGUCCGUUCAAUCCGGGCAGGGAUCA